UACGUAGGAGGCAAGCGUUAUCCGGAAUGACUGGGCGUAAAGGGUGCGUAGGUGGUUCAGCAAGUUAGUAGCGUAACUCCGGGGCUCAACUCCGGCACUACUACUAAAACUGUUGGACUUGAGUGCAGGAGGGGCAACUGGAAUUCCUAGUGUAGCGGUGGAAUGCGUAGAUAUUAGGAAGAACACCGGUGGCGAAGGCGAGUUGCUGGACUGUAACUGACACUGAGGCACGAAAGCGUGGGGAGCAAACAGG
rnacentral:rRNA from 1 species